CAGCGGCGCUUCCCCGAAGCCCGCCAGGUUCGCGAGCCCUGUUGCUCCGCAAAUUCCACCCCUGCAGAGAAAGGGAGGCCGACGUGCAGUUUGGCUUGGAGGGAGGAGAGGCUGGACUUUUGGGAUAAUGUGAGAUAAAUGGGUCUGAAACCCGAAGGCCUGAGGGGAGGGGUACUGCAGGUGGGGCUGGCUGAACCCCCUCUCUAGGCCCUGAGAUGACUGAAGCUGACCAGCGAGCACCCUGUAUGGGGAUCAGUCUUGCCCAGCCUCUUGGCUCUUGUCUCCUGCCCAGAGCGUCUCUACCAAGGGUAGACCUGAGUUUUGGUUGAGUCGGCCCUGGAGAGGCAGUGGUAGGUGGUCUGACUCUUUCUGGUAGGUUCCAGACAGGGGAAAGAAAGAGGAGUGUCCCAAGUCUGUUCUGCGACCUUGUAAGAGGCAUUCCAGGCAGCACCUAAUACCUACCAAAUUCAAGUGACUUGUUAGCCGCAAGGCAAUGAGCUAUUUACAUGUUCUGUACUGGCCCUGCCCCUCCUCUUGGAGGUGGGAACUAUCUUAUUCUGUGUGCAGCUUUGUCAACGACCAGCAAAACACCUGACACAGAAGGUACUACUGUGUCUGUGUCUUGAUGGAAUACCACCUCAAAGCCAAUGCGGAUUUAAGCUGGAUAUGAAAGACCCACAAGCAAGAACCAUCAUGCUAAAUAGAGAAAACAUCAUUGACAAUUGCCUUGAUAAUAAUGUGCACCAUACAAUGUUCUCCUUUGUUAUUAAAGCACAAGCAACUUCUUCUCUGUGAUUUCAACUACUUAUGACUGUUUUGCUUUCUUGUGUGCAUACAUAUUGAAGAGCUUUCUCAUUCAAAUUUUUCCUUUCCCCAUCUAAAUUUUCCUUUUUGAGCUAUAGCUAUGCACCCAAAAAUGCAGAAAAAUUUCAACAUUUUAACAUGUGCAACCUGUCUGGCAUAGUUGAAUAGGUAUUUCUCAGUGCCUCUCUCCCCAAAUAGUGCUUUCCUGUGUCAACAAUAACUGCCCACUGAACUACGUCUCUCAUUAACAUCUCUUCUUUCUCCUCUAAAGCACCAAGUUGAGGCCUGCUUCUCUCUUCCUUAAAGCUUCCAGACCAAAAGCUCUACUCCUAGUCUGCCAUCUACUUUCCCCGCUUAUUGUUCCAAACUCACCUACCUUCCUCCUUGCUGGACAGACCAGGGGAGUCUUGCAUCUUCAGGUGUCUACCUUGCCCACAAUUCCCUUUGGAUGGGGUGGUCCACAUCUGCUUUUCCCUCCACUAGCUCCUGGGGCUUCUGCCUGUGCAUUGAGGGAAAUCAGCACAGCUCCUCUGGACACAAUGCACUGGGCUAGACCAUUGCUAAUAGAAUGUUCUGCAGUGAUGUUCUUUAUCAGUGCUAUCCCAUACGGAGCUAACAGGGCAUCUGACAUGUGACUAGUGAAUGGAGAAUCAAAGCCUUCAUUUGAUUUAACUGAUUUAAAUUUACAAGUCUCAUGUAGCUAGUGGUUAUCCUCCUAGAAAGCAGACCUAUAGACUCAGCUGUUUGAUGUCCCACGGCCCUGAAAUUUAACUUAAAAAAAAAAGGGUGAAAAGUUUGCUAUGCUACCUAAAAGCAGACCAAAUCAGAGAGAAAGCCAGAAGCAGCAGGGCCAGGCAUCUUCUGCAGGGAGGUCGGCAGGCAUUUUCUGGGCAUUCUGGUUUAAUCCAGUGGGAUUCUGUACGGCCUUUAGCUGAUCCCAUGCUACUUUAACAUGGCUUCAUAGUGAGUCCUAACAUCUGGCAAGUAAAAAUGCCCACCCCUCUGUUCUUUCCUUUCUGAGAUGUCCUAGCCUUUUGCUCUCCUUUAUCUUCUACUUUAGAAUCACCUUAACAAGUUCCAGGAGAAAACUUGGUGGGAUUUUGACUGGAAUUAUCUGGGGACAAAUGACAUCUUUAUGAAAUUGUCUGCCUAGCCAAACAUGUCUCUCCCUAUUUUUUUGAGGGCUCAGUUACUAUCUCAAUAAUGUUUAAGAAUUUUUUUCUUAAAGAGGUGAUGAUCAUCAUACAUUGUUCACUUCCUAGGUACUUGGUAUUAAUACUAUUGUAUAAGGUUAUCUUCUUGUUUUCUAGUUGUUACUUCUGUAAACAAAUGAAACUGGCUUGUGAAAAUUAAUGCUACAUCUACUAACCUACCCAAACCCUAUUAUUUCUGGUAUUCUCUUUAGACUUACUUCGGUUUUCUAUAAAAACUAACAAUUGUAAUGUGCAAAUGAGUGUUUCUACUACUUGUAAAACUUUUUCUUGACUUACUCUAUUGGCUAGGCUCUCCAACACAAAUUUUGAAUAUAAGCUGUGAUAGUGGAAAACCAGCCCUUUGUUUCUGACUUAAAGGGUAAUAAAUUUUCCUCUUUUUGGAA